CCUCCACAGACGGGCAGCUGAGUGGACUCCAGGGCAGCCUUCCCUCUGCAGCCUUUGUGCCCAUCACCAGCUCCACAGAUCCUGCUCCCACUAAGAGAUGAACCCCAGCCGCGCAGAAGAAGAGCUGCUCACCGGCCCUGAGUGCGACUGAGGGCCAAGCAUCCUCCCACACUGUAGGGGUCCCCAAAGCCCUGACAAGUGGGUUGCCCAUCAGCCAAUCCCGACGUUCCCUGGGACAGCAGGACAGCAGACCCUCCGGGUUUUGACGGAUCGGCAGUGGGCACAUCGGGCUGGAGGGUCUGUCCCGUUGGCACUCGUGUGUGUGUCUGCGCCUUCCCUUGACCCCACCCCCCCGCUCAGGCCCUUCUGAACCUUCCUGCUACUGCACAGAGAUGAUAUAAAGAGGCUCUUUGGCUAUUUGCAUUCGGCUUCCUCUUCUUUUCCAGACUGCAGCAUGAAGCUUUAUUUUCUUUGUGCAAGCUUAAAAUCCCAACCACAUUACCUACCUGCAUUGCUCCGCCCUCAUCCGAGGGCCAGGGAAAGGAGGGCACCUGUCACAGGCUUCCCAGAGAGGAGACGUGUGCCACAGACAACACGGCCAGGGUAAAGGCUCACUGUGAAAUUACUGAUUUCUAAGAUUAAUAAAGUAAUUCUGUUUUUA